rnacentral:sRNA from 1 species
AAUUUUAUGUCCAUAACGUCUUUAAUAUUUUAAAAAAUCAUGAAUGUUAUCAGCCAAACAUCUAAUUCUUUUUAUUGGAUAUUUUUUUUUUGUGUGGGAAGGGGAGUCAAAAAACUCCCCCCAAUUUAUUAAGAACUAAAUAAAAGGAAAUAACAAACGAAUAGUACGAGGGACACCAGGCCCAUUAACAUCCUCGAACAUGAUCGAAAGAACAGAUUCGGGACAAACAUCAAGAGAAAGAAAACCAAAAUCUAAAGAGAACGCAUAGUUUGCUAAUCCAUCGGCAAGACGAUUAGCUUCCUAUACACAUGAGUAACCCGGACUAACCAGUCCCGUGAGAUAAAGUCAUGGCACAAACGUACCAGGAAAGACAGCGGAUGCAUUCCAGUCACCCAUGUUUGUAAGAACCCCACAACCAACUUAGAAUCCACCUCCAGCUCCACCCGUCGAAAGCCUCUCUCCCAGGCUAUGACUAAACCAUAGUACACUCCCCAUAACUCCGCCAUGGGAACCGAACAGAUGCCUAUGUUCAACGCAAACCCACCUAACCACUCACCUUCUUCUCUUUUUAUUGGGUAUUUAACAUUGUAUUUAGAAUCUCUUUACUGGAGCGUUUGUCGUUUUCUUUAGGGAAUGCCAACAAAAUAAUAU